AUUUGUAGAGGAAGCUUUUGGCGCGGCACCUUCUGAGUCCCCUGGAACGGGGCGCCAUAGAGGGUGAGAGCCCCGUAUAGUUGGAUGCCUAGCCUCUGUAAAGCUCCUUCGACGAGUCGAGUAGUUUGGGAAUGCUGCUCAAAAUGGGAGGUAAAUUUCUUCUAAAGCUAAAUACCGGCCAGAGACCGAUAGCGCACAAGUAGAGUGAUCGAAAGAUGAAAAGCACUUUGAAAAGAGGGUUAAAUAGCACGUGAAAUUGUUGAAAGGGAAGCGCUUGUGACCAGACUUGCGCCGGGCUGAUCAUCCGGUGUUCUCACCGGUGCACUCUGCCCGGCUCAGGCCAGCAUCGGUUCUCGCGGGGGGACAAAGGCCCUGGGAACGUAGCUCCUCCGGGAGUGUUAUAGCCCAGGGCGUAAUGCCCUCGCGGGGACCGAGGUUCGCGCUCUGCAAGGAUGCUGGCGUAAUGGUCACCAGCGACCCGUCUUGAAACACGGACCAAGGAGUCAAGGUUUUGCGCGAGUGUUUGGGUGUAAAACCCGCACGCGUAAUGAAAGUGAACGUAGGUGAGAGCUUCGGCGCAUCAUCGACCGAUCCUGAUGUAUUCGGAUGGAUUUGAGUAGGAGCGUUAAGCCUUGGACCCGAAAGAUGGUGAACUAUGCUUGGAUAGGGUGAAGCCAGAGGAAAC
rnacentral:rRNA from 1 species